rnacentral:rRNA from 1 species
GACGAACGCUGGUGGCGUGCUUAACACAUGCAAGUCGAACGAAGUGGCGAACGGGUGAGUAACGCGUAAAAAACCUGCCCUUCAGAGGGGGAAAACAGUUGGAAACGACUGCUAAUACAGCAUACUGUAGGAGGGGGUUGCGGCUGAGUGGCUAGUGGGAGGGGGAACGGCGCACCGAGGCGAUGAGCAGUAGUCGGUCUGAUGUGAGGAACGGCCACAUGGGAACUGAGGCCCGGCCCAGACUCCUACGGGAUGCAGCAGUGGGGAAUAUUGCACAAUGGGCGCAAGCCUGAUGCAGCCAUGCCGCGUGUGUGAAGAAGGCCGUCGGGUUGUAAAGCACUUUCAGCGAGGAGCGUUACGCGCAGAAGAAGCACCGGCUAACUCCGUGCCAGCAGCCGCGGUAAUUC